rnacentral:tRNA from 1 species
AUAGGCACUGGCAACGCGACCCCCUGAUCAUCCCUGAUAAGGAUGAGGCCCCUGGUUCAAGUCCAGGUGGGCCCA